UACGUAGGGGGCUAGCGUUGUCCGGAUUUAUUGGGCGUAAAGAGCGUGUAGGCGGCCAGGUAGGUCUGGUGUGAAAACUCGAGGCUUAACCUCGAGAUGUCAUCGGAAACCAUCUGGCUAGAGUCCGGAAGAGGAGAGUGGAAUUCCUGGUGUAGCGGUGAAAUGCGCAGAUAUCAGGAAGAACACCGGUGGCGAAGGCGGGUCUCUGGGCCGAUAUUGACGCUGAGGAGCGAAAGCGUGGGGAGCGAACAGG
rnacentral:rRNA from 1 species